rnacentral:rRNA from 1 species
UGGGGAAUUUUGGACAAUGGGGGAAACCCUGAUCCAGCCAUCCCGCGUGUGCGAUGAAGGCCUUCGGGUUGUAAAGCACUUUUGGCAGGAAAGAAACGUCAUGGGUUAAUACCCCGUGAAACUGACGGUACCUGCAGACUAAGCACCGGCUAACUACGUGCCAGCAGCCGCGGUAAUACGUACGGUGCAAGCGUUAAUCGGAAUUACUGGGCGUAAAGCGUGCGCAGGCGGUUCGGAAAGAAAGAUGUGAAAUCCCAGAGCUCAACUUUGGAACUGCAUUUUUAACUGCCGGGCUAGAGUGUGUCAGAGGGAGGUGGAAUUCCGUGUGUAGCAGUGAAAUGCGUAGAUAUGCGGAGGAACACCGGUGGCGAAGGCAGCCUCCUGGGAUAACACUGACGCUCAUGCACGAAAGCGUGGGGAGCAAACAGG